rnacentral:rRNA from 1 species
AACGAACGCUGGCGGCAGGCCUAACACAUGCAAGUCGAGCGAGGACUUCGGUUCUAGCGGCGGACGGGUGAGUAACGCGUGGGAAUGUGCCCUUCUCUACGGAAUAUCCCUGGGAAACUGGGAGUAAUACCGUAUACGCCCUAUUGGGGAAAGAUUUAUCGGAGAAGGAUCAGCCCGCGUUGGAUUAGGUAGUUGGUGGGGUAAUGGCCUAACAAGCCGACGAUCCAUAGCUGGUUUGAGAGGAUGAUCAGCCACACUGGGACUGAGACACGGCCCAGACUACUACGGGAGGCAGCAGUGGGGAAUCUUAGACAAUGGGGGCAACCCUGAACUAGCCAUGCCGGGUGAGUGAUGAAGGCCUUAGGGUUGUAAAGCUCUUUCAGCUGGGAAGAUAAUGACGGUACCAGCAGAAGAAGCCCCGGCUAACUCCGUG